UUAAGUGGGUUGGUGGUAAUGUUUUAAGGCUUUGCACUAAAUUGAACAAUAAAUUUAAUUUCAAUCAAGAUGCAUAAAUUAUGAACUAAUGAUAAAGAGCCAUAAAAAGAGGCUUUACAAUGCACCAUAAACUAUUUAUUGGUUUUGGUAGAAACUCAUUACAUUAUUUAUUAAUGGUUAGGCGCGUAUUUCACAUCACAUUUACAUUUCACAUUUAUUCACAUUCACACACAUUCACACAUUAUUCACAUUUCACAUUUAUCAGUUGUCAAAAAGCGAACGCCACAGUCAAGCAAUCAAGGAUAAAGCUGGAAGACUGGGAAGAACCACCACCGGCUCAGAUCUAUUGUGUACCCACUCCCCGCAGUUCCAUGUUUGUCAUUCGCACUUCCAUGUGGACCUGCCCGGCGAUAUGAUCUGAAAUGGACUUGUGUACAUACACGAGUACGCCGUGCUCGGCACUUGUUUGGCUAUUGUUUGACUUUGUACCCGCCUGGCCCGUUGGGGGGCUGGAUUCCCACUCCGAGCCGGUGGUCGAGCCCUCUUCCCACUCUCACACAGAAACGCUUGUUGACACCAACUGCUUAUCGCUCGGGUUUGGUGCUCCGCCGCGGUGAGCGGAGCCCAGAAACGGAAUACAUAAAUUAUGUUUCCCCGCUUUCCGGAUUCAUCUGGUUAUCAGUUCUAAUUAGUCGGCGACACUUUUCAGAGUCGGCAGGUUCAACAUUAUUUUAUAUACGCCUGUUUAUGGCUGUGUACCUUUGUUAGGCACUGUUUGCUGAUAGGCCACCAUCGAUACACGGCCCAUAAACUGUUAUGUUACCCGAAAUCGCAGAUAAGAUAUGGAAAGCACUUUGGUGGGCUGAUCGAACAAUAUUUGCCUAGCCACUUGCUCGAACACUCGACUAAAUCGGCAAAACGAAAGCCCUCGAAGAAUUAAAAGGGAUAAUUUACGAUAGCUUCUAUUACAAGGAACAGUUUGCGAUAACGGCGAUUACCAAUAACCAAAUGCGAUAACUGUGAUGACUGCGAUGAAUGAUAUUUGAUGAGUUGUUUGACAUUGCAUACUCGUC